UACAGGGGGGGCAAGCGUUGUUCGGAAUUACUGGGCGUAAAGGGUUCGUAGGUGGCUUACUAAGUCAGACGUGAAAUCCCUCGGCUUAACCGGGGAACUGCAUCUGAUACUGGAUGGCUUGAGUUUGGGAGAGGGAUGCGGAAUUCCAGGUGUAGCGGUGAAAUGCGUAGAUAUCUGGAGGAACACCGGUGGCGAAGGCGGCAUCCUGGACCAACACUGACACUGAUGAGCGAAAGCCAGGGGAGCAAACGGG
rnacentral:rRNA from 1 species